CAUUAAAAAGCUAAAAAGCAUUGGUCUCUUAAACCAAAAAUUAGAUUAUUCUUUUAAUGA
rnacentral:tRNA from 1 species